UUGUAAUGUGCUUCGUUGACGGGCAGAUUUCGGCACUGACAGUAGUAGCAUCGAUGCUGGAUCUUCGGUCGAAAGUACACCACUCUUUUUACCAAAGGGGUUCUCGAUUCCUCCAGUGUAGAUAAAGGAAAGCGUGGCGAUGACCACGAUUGUCCGGUAGCAGCCAAGCUGGUGGCGCCCUCUGUUGGUUGUUUCUUUGGCGUUUAUGCGUCAUUUGUUUUCGCAGCCAGAUGAUUCCUUCCAUUUCACACAGAGUUAGUCUUAGGGCGGUCUUUUCCAGAGGAAGGUGCGCUCCGUCACCGCGUUACCGUGUAGACUGACAAGCCAACAAAAGCACCGUGAGCAAAUGUGUGAACCAUCUCAUCCUUCUGAUCAAGACACCUCUUCAUGAUCUUUCCAAGCGUGAGGUGAUGCCCCAGCAAUCAGCAUCAUGAGUUACCUCGCCUAUGUGCCACCAGGUUCGUGCUGCCGCCUGGAAACAGCACCGGUAAUUCGAUGGUGAAGGUCGCUGCUGCAGACGUGUUUAAACAGCGUGAGGUGAAGCUGCUGUACACUGCAGUGAAAAUGCUCCUUGAACAACAAAAGCGCAUGUGGACCGAAUCCAAAGUGUGUUGUCGGCGAGCUGGUUCGUCCGUUACCCAACACCAGCCGCCUGGCACAUUUUACUGUCAAAAAAUGGCAAACCCAGGCGGCGAAGAGCUUCGUAUGACUUCACGGCUGAAGAGUUGUUGUUCUCUGCUCUCCUUCCUCUUGCCGAAGCAACGUUAUGCACAAGCGAGCUCAACGAUAUCCCGCUUAUUAGGAACAUUUCACAAUCAAGCUAGCGUACGAAUAAGCCCUUUUUAUCAGCAUUGAGACUGCCUGUGCGUUGUGCAGAGGUAUCCAUGGUCACGCACUUUCUGCUUGAUUCUUCGUGGAUGCGAAGGAACGAGAAUGCGACGAAAGCACGUCCGUAGAAAUAACUAUGUUCACUGGUGACUGCGCAACACAAAAGCAAUCUGUAGAACUGUUCCAUUUGUCUGUUGGUCGGCUGGCUGCUACAUUGGAGUUCCUGUGUCGCUUCCAGAACGGCCCGUAGCCUCUACAUCAGCCGUGACUCCCUUCCUAGCGGAGACGCGGGCGUUCUGGGAAACCCAAAGUUCCUCGAUAACUGUCGUUACCACCAUGCCGACAGCUUCGUUCACGCAUCUCCGUCCACCAUGAAAUGGACGCUUCUGGCGUGGGGCUUGACUGCAUGCACUCAUCAAACGUUCGGGCUGCGACGCAUCUCUCUGUUCGCAUGUUUUGUUGUCACCGACUCGGCUGUGAUAGCUUGCCCAGUCUUCGAAAUACACACAGGCAAGCCAAUGGAGCUCAUUUCCCAUUGUUUGGGUUGUUCGUGAGGAAAAGACCCUUGACACCACGACAUCCACACACGCAGUCUCACCCAAAUACCUGUCAUAAGCUGUGAAAGCGAGCUAUGCUCAGUCGUGCUUUUCGGUAAGGCUACGACAGGGUCAAGGACACCGCUCUCAAUGCUGUGGAACGAAUGGACGCUCCAGCAUUUCAGCUUCUUCAGCCCUUCUCAUCUCUUUUAAAACGACCCCACGUGUACCCAGUGUCCAUUUGCGUGAACUGCUUUCGUUUGGACGUCCAGGAAUCGAAAAACUUCCUGAAAGUUCCCAAGAGGUCAUAUUCUUGGGUUUCUAGGGCAGAGGAAAUGGCUCAGGCCAUCGCUGCGUCGGCUAGGGCGGCGACUGGUUCACUCGCCGGGAAAAAGCAGGGUAAAACCGCUGCGGAGGCAUUCAAGGCGCCAGAUAGUAUAAGCUGGGAGGCGCUCACGGAGUUCGUCUUUCCGAGAAAUCUGAUUCAUCCCAGGGCCCUCGGGCGUUUGUAUAUACUCGGAUUUUAUGGAAACAUCGAUGAGCACGGCAAAAUGAGAGCUGGUGAGCAAGUGGGCGCCCUCUACCCUUUCGGUGUUUGCCUCCACAUUGUAACUAGCUGCGACUACAUGUUCCAUGCGUCGCCCUCCAUUCGAGAGACCCUUAAGCUAUUUAUAGAAACCUGACUUGAACGCCAAUCGAAAGUUCAGAAAGGGCGUGAGGUUACUCCUGCGACGACCAGGCGGGAACGGCGCAUCUAUUUCGAAACAAUUUGAUACGAUCGAAUGUUUGCUCCCACAGUCUAUGCGAAGAAACCAUCACCCGUUCCAGGCGGAAAGACAUGCCAUGGUGCUUGGCGUAGAAGUGUAAAAACGCGGAUCAGCGAAUGCUGUGGGAUGAACAUUGCGCAGGCCAUUUUGGAAGGCACUCAGUCACGAAUGCUGAGAUUCGGGUCAUGAUGACGGACAUUUACAAAGUGAGAGUCCUCUCUGUUCACAUUCAUACGCCUUCUCGCUGCGACUGUUAUCUAGCAUAGAGAGAUUCGAAGAUACUGUCCCGGCAGCCUCCCCCCUAGCCCUUCGCAAACUCAGUCACAAAUGACACAGCAGUUUACCCACAUACAGGGAUACACAUGUGCAUAGCAAAAGCCGCCCGCUAGACUUUCAGUUCACUGUCUUUCGCUACUUUCCAAAC
rnacentral:lncRNA from 1 species